ensembl:lncRNA
GUUGUGUCUCUACAGUGGUGAAGAAAAUGUAUGAGUCCUCAAGGGGAUCACCAAUCCGAAAUGGGGGUGAUAGCAGCACCCAGCAAAUCCAUAUCUGCCUUUGAACCAGAGACCAACUCUGGAAAAGAUGCUGAGGCAGUCCAUCCCCGACCAUCAUACUCUGCAUCGAGCUCUGGUUCCAAAGAAAGGCCCAGCAACAAUGGAUGGUGUAACGGGGUAUAAGAGAGGUGCAAAAUGGAACAUUGCUACCUACAGAAGAGAUGAAGAGGCCCCAAAUCUUAAAUUAACCGUGGCUCAAAGUCAGGAGUUGAAAGGCCUCCCACUUCCCGUUACCCAGCGACUUCCUGUUACCCAGUGUGUGAGUGAACUUGCAGCUCGUCAACAAAUUAAAAUGACCUUUUACAGAAGAAGGGGGGCUGGGAUGGAGCAUGUGACAUAUACUGUGUUUCUUCAGUUCUUAAUCAUCACUGCACUAAUUCAAGACUCUAAUGGUGAGCUCUGCCUUUUUAUCCGUUUGCUCUUUAAAUGUUUUGAGAUGAUUUUCUGCAAUGAAAAAAGCUCUAUACAUUCUGAUGUGUGUUUAGAUUGA